CAACCUGUGAGCUGCCCACCGCCUAUGUCAAAUAUAAAAUUCAAUCUUCACAGCUCGUCAUUAUAAUAAAUCAAAUCACAGAAACAUUCUGAUGCUGCAUGUGUGAGACAUAAGUGAGCACUUCUACGGCAUUUUGGUUGGAGAAUGCUUUCCAAAUAUUAUUAUGAGGAGCGUAGUGUACGCCUUGGAUUCCCUUUCCCCAUGGCCAUGGGUUAAAUGUGAACAAGUAAGGAAAGCUUCAUUUAGUAAGAACGUACAUUACACAGAGCAGUGGAUCAAUGAAUUCCCAUUUGGAUUCUAG
rnacentral:misc_RNA from 1 species